rnacentral:lncRNA from 1 species
ACGCCAUCUUCGAAUUGGCUCGCGCGGGACACAAGUCCUGUACUAUCUACAAGCUUUUUAACUACCCCAAGACCACGGUGUACCAAGAACCGUGGAGUGAGCAAGCAGCUGGUCUCCAAGGCUGUGAAUGAGGACAUCGGAUAUAGGUCAUACGGAAUGGCGUGAAUAAUUCGAGUCCUGACUGAAAUUGGUAGAAAUAGCAGCCACCAUCUUCUCCAUCCUGCCCCUAAAGGAGUUGCAUAUCCUGAAGACUUCCGCGGAAUCGACAGCAUUCCACUCCGUCGUAAUGGAACCCUUCAGGGCUGCAAUGCUCUUGUGGCGGACCUUGCACACCUCCCUCUCCAAUUGUAAAUCAAUAUUUUGAUAUCACUAAAUCAACGGAUUUUUCUGACUUAGGGAUAAACAUCCCUCUUGAAUACGAACUCUCUUUCUACGAGGAUCAUUAAAAAAGAUUAUUUUUUUCUUGAGGCGUUUUGGUUUUCAUAAAAUUCAAACGAAUUCCAAACAAAAAGAAAUAAACCUAUUUAGAUGAAAGUUGGUGUCUGUUCUUCCAGAGAUGCUACUAACUAAACAUAACUUCGAAACAAGCCAGUAGUACCAUCCCUCGGACUUUGGACGAACUUUUCAAACGCCCCUCGUAAUUCCGAAAAAUCAUUUUUUUUAAUGUACAUAUAAUCUUUAAAUCUGGAAUAAUGCAAUACUUUUAGCAAAGAACUCUGAAUUGAUUUGUCAUUUCUUAGAAUAAGUGUCCAUAUUUGCAUUUAAAAGAGUUUCACGCCUUUUUUUUAUACAUGCAAUCACCUAGAA